rnacentral:rRNA from 1 species
UCUAGUGAUGAUGGCAAAGAGGUCACACCCGUUCCCAUACCGAACACGGAAGUUAAGCUCUUUAGCGCCUAUGGUAGUUGGGGGCUUCCCCCUGUGAGAGUAGGACGUCGCUAGGC